GUAACGCGUGAGGAACCUGUCUUCUACAGGGGGAUAACGGUCCGAAAGGAUUGCUAAUACCGCAUAAGACCACAGAAUCGCAUGGUUCAGGGGUCAAAGGAGAAAUCCGGUAGAAGGUGGACUCGCGUCCCAUUAGAUAGUUGGUGAGGUAACGGCCCACCAAGUCGACGAUGGGUAGCCGACCUGAGAGGGUGAUCGGCCACAUUGGAACUGAGAUACGGUCCAGACUCCUACGGGAGGCAGCAGUGGGGAAUAUUGGGCAAUGGGCGAAAGCCCUGACCCAGCAACGCCGCGUGAGGGAAGAAGGUCUUCGGGUUGUAAACCUCUGUCCUUGGUGAAAAGGAAGGAUGGUAGCCAAGGAGGAAGCUCCGGCUAACUACGUGCCAGCAGCCGC
rnacentral:rRNA from 1 species